CUUGCACACUGAGCUACCGAGCUGGAUAAAUAUUGAACACAACCUCUGGGAUCUUGUGAUCUGGCUUUCAAAGUGCUGGUGUUUGAACUCCGUGACCUUGCACAUGCUAACUACAUGUCUCACCAGUGAACUGCACUCCAACCCUCUGUGCUUCACUUCCCCACCUGUCAAGCAGGUCAACUUGAAAAAUUUCUAGGCCUGCUAUUUUAAAAAAGAAUCAAGGAAAGAAUAGAAUGGAUCAUAUGCUACUGAGUAAGUGGGAUACAGAUUCACAACUGUGGCAAUAACAAAUGUGGAAAAGCAAUAUUAAAGAUAUACAUGGGAGAUUAAGCAUCUAACCAACUUGAGAGCAAGAAUUGUUGGAGAGACAGCCAAGAGGGGAAGCCCACCAGGAAAUUCUUAGGCGAGCAGCCAAAGAUCUUCCCACCUGUACCAGG
rnacentral:lncRNA from 1 species